UUAAGUAAAUUUAAGAGCUUAUGGUGGAUACCUUGGCAUUUAGAAGCGAUGAAGGGCGUGACUACCAACGAAAUGUUUCGGUGAGCUGGAAGUAAGCAAUGACCCGAAAGUUCCCGAAUGAGGAAACUCUUUAUACUGUCUACUGAAUACAUAGGUAGAUAAGAGCUAACUUGGCGAAUUGAAACAUCUUAGUAGCCAAAGGAAAAUAAAGCAAAAAGCGAUUCCCUUAGUAGCGGCGAGCGAAAUGGGAACAGCCUAAACCACUUUAAUGCGUUCUAGUGGGGUUGUGGGACAAUUAAGACAAGCUAAAUUGAAUUAAAUGAAAUGGCUGGAAUGCCAUAUCGUAGAAGGUGAUAGUCCUGUAGUUGAAAGUUCAAUUUUGCUUAGAUUGUAUCCCAAGUAGCAUGGGGCACGUGAAAUCCUGUGUGAAUCUGCGAGGACCACCUCGUAAGGCUAAAUAUUCCUAAAUGACCGAUAGUGAACCAGUACCGUGAGGGAAAGGUGAAAAGAACCCCGGGAGGGCAGAUGUUGGUUACUGGUUUAAGCUUUCAAGGUGAAGAAAAGUGGAGAAAACAACUUAGAGCUAAAAAGUGAGUACAAAAUACUAAGGUAUUAAAGCGAUUGAUGUCAUACUUUCUAGAAAAGCUCGAUCUAUCUUAAACAAUAAGUACCUGUACCUUAAACCGACACAGGUAGGUAAGUAGAGUAUACUAAGGGGCGCGAGAUAACUCUCUCUAAGGAACUCGGCAAAAUAGCCCCGUAACUUCGGGAGAAGGGGUGCCCUUGUAGGGCUGCAAUAAAUAGGCCCAAGCGACUGUUUAUCAAAAACAUAGGUCUCCGCGAAGUCGUAAGACAAUGUAUGGGGGCUGACGCCUGCCCAGUGCCGGAAGGUUAAGGAAGUCGGUUAGUUUUUAAUGAAGCUGACGACCGAAGCCCCGGUGAACGGCGGCCGUAACUAUAACGGUCCUAAGGUAGCGAAAUUCCUUGUCGGGUAAGUUCCGACCCGCACGAAAGGCGUAACGAUUUGGGCACUGUCUCGGAGAGAGACUCGGCGAAAUAGAAAUGUCUGUGAAGAUGCGGACUACCUGCAACCUGGACCAGAAAGACCCUUAUGAAGCUUUAUCGUGUUAGCUUUGGGUAUUGAUUUGGGUUUAGUUUGCGCAGCUAGGUGGGAGGCUAAGAAUAUGUAUUUGUGGAUAUAUAGGAGCCAUCAGUGAGAUACCACUCUAGUUAAACUAGAAUUCUAACCUUGAUAGCCGUCAACCGGCCAAGGGACAUUCUCAGGUGGGCAGUUUGACUGGGGCGGUCGCCUCCUAAAAAGUAACGGAGGCGUGCAAAGGUUCUCUCAGGCUGGUCGGAAAUCAGUCGAAGAGUAUAAAGGCAUAAGAGAGCUUGACUGCAAGACCUACAAGUCGAGCAGAGACGAAAGUCGGCCUUAGUGAUCCGACAGUGCUGAGUGGAAAGGCUGUCGCUCAACGGAUAAAAGUUACUCUAGGGAUAACAGGCUGAUCUCCCCCAAGAGUUCACAUCGACGGGGAGGUUUGGCACCUCGAUGUCGGCUCAUCGCAUCCUGGGGCGGUAGCACGUCCCAAGGGUUGGGCUGUUCGCCCAUGAAAGCGGUACGCGAGCUGGGUUCAGAACGUCGUGAGACAGUUCGGUCCAUAUCCGGUGCGGGCGUUAGAGUAUUGAGAGGAUUUCUCCUUAGUACGAGAGGACCAGGAGAAACAUAUCUCUGGUGUACCAGUUAUUGUGCCAACAGUAAACGCUGGGUAGCCAAAUAUGGAAUGGAUAACCGCUGAAAGCAUCUAAGUGGGAAGCCUACCUCAAGAUGAGUACUCUCUCCUUUAAUAGGAUAAGAUCACGGUAAGACUAACCGUUGGAUAGGCGUUAAGUGUAAGUGCAGCAAUGUAUUCAGCUGAAACGUAACUAAUAGAUCGAUAACUUAAUACA
rnacentral:rRNA from 1 species